GUGGGGAAUAUUGGGCAAUGGGCGCAAGCCUGACCCAGCAACGCCGCGUGAGGGAAGAAGGCUUUCGGGUUGUAAACCUCUGUCCUUGGUGACGAAACAAAUGACGUUAGCCAAGGAGGAAGCCCCGGCUAACUACGUGCCAGCAGCCGCGGUAAUACGUAGGGGGCGAGCGUUGUCCGGAAUUACUGGGCGUAAAGGGUGCGUAGGUGGCCUGUGAAGUUGGAUGUGAAAUACCCGGGCUUAACUUGGGGGGUGCAUCUAAUACUGGAGGGCUAGAGUGCAGGAGAGGAAAGCGGAAUUCCUAGUGUAGCGGUGAAAUGCGUAGAUAUUAGGAGGAACACCAGUGGCGAAGGCGGCUUUCUGGACUGUAACUGACACUGAGGCACGAAAGCGUGGGGAGCAAACAGGAUUAGAUACCCCGGUAGUCC
rnacentral:rRNA from 1 species